AGCGAACGCUGGCGGCAGGCCUAACACAUGCAAGUCGAACGAAGUCUUCGGACUUAGUGGCGGACGGGUGAGUAACACGUGGGAACGUGCCUUUAGGUUCGGAAUAACUCAGGGAAACUUGUUCUAAUACCGAAUGUGCCCUUCGGGGGAAAGAUUUAUCGCCUUUAGAGCGGCCCGCGUCUGAUUAGCUAGUUGGUGAGGUAAAGGCUCACCAAGGCUACGAUCAGUAGCUGGUCUGAGAGGAUGACCAGCCACAUUGGGACUGAGACACGGCCCAAACUCCUACGGGAGGCAGCAGUGGGGAAUCUUGCGCAAUGGGCGAAAGCCUGACGCAGCCAUGCCGCGUGGAUGAUGAAGGUCUUAGGAUUGUAAAAUUCUUUCACCGGUGAAGAUAAUGACUGUAGCCGGAGAGGAAGCCCCGGCUAACUUCGUGCCAGCCGCCGCAGUAACAC
rnacentral:rRNA from 1 species